rnacentral:rRNA from 1 species
UGAGUAACCUGCCCUUCACUCUGGGAUAACUCCGGGAAACCGGGGCUAAUACCGGAUAUGACUCCUCAUCGCAUGGUGGGGGUGGAAAGCUUUUGUGGUUUUGGAUGGACUCGCGGCCUAUCAGCUUGUUGGUGAGGUAAUGGCUCACCAAGGCGACGACGGGUAGCCGGCCUGAGAGGGUGACCGGCCACACUGGGACUGAGACACGGCCCAGACCUCCGUACGGGGAGCAG